AUGCCCCUGUGGGAAGCUGGAAGGAUCCAAAAAAGAUGGAGGUCUGUGAAAAUAAUAAAUCUAACUGAGCUCAAGUUUAGUUUCAUGAAACAACUGGUUUGCUUAGCUGCCCUGUGCACUGUGAUAAUUUGGGAGAAAAAUACAAAGAUGACGAACCCAGUACAUUGGAUUUGUUUUAGGAGUGCCACUACAGCAGCAAGAAAUGCUACGCACCGAGCUGCAAUUGCAAGUCAACAUUCAAAGAUUUUUAAUGGUAUCACAAUGCCUACCAUUUUCUAUAGAUCCAGUAGUACAAUAAUCAAUAAUUGUAAAGUCAGCCUAUAA
rnacentral:rRNA from 1 species